rnacentral:rRNA from 1 species
AUGAGUAGACCUGAUGGCAUCAAUAUCCCCGAUGGCAAGUUCUACCUAGGAGAUGCUGACUAUGCAUGUCAGCUGGGUGUUUUUCCACUCAGGAAAACCAGAUAUUAUCCGAACGAGUUCUCUUGCAGGAACUAUCUUAGGACUUCACAUGAACUGUUUAAUCUCAGACACUCCACCUUAAGAGUUAUGUUUGAGAGGGCAUUUGGAACUCUAAAGAAUAUGUUUAAGAUCCUGGAUCAGAAGCCAUUCCACCCUUAGCCUACCCACGUUAAGUUUGUUUUUGCAUGUUGCAUCCUUCAUAACUGGAUCCUACAAUGGGGUUGUGAUGAACUUGUGCCGGAGGAGAAAGAUGAGACAUAUGAUGAUGUUGUCAGCUCCAGCCAUGGUGUGGAGGCGUUUGACAAUGAAGCCUGAAAGAACAAAAUAAUAAAGUGGGCUCAGGCAAUGUGGGAUAACAGAGGUCAGACAGGGAUCUGA